AUUGAACGCUGGCGGCAGGCCUAACACAUGCAAGUCGAACGAGUGGCGGACGGGUGAGUAAUGUCUGGGAAACUGCCUGAUGGAGGGGGAUAAAUACUGGAAACGGUAGCUAAUACCGCAUACCCUCAGAUGUGCCCAGAUGGGAUUCGCUAGUUGGUGGGGUAACGGCUCACCAAGGCGACGCUCCCUAGCUGGUCUGCGAGGAUGACAGACCACGUGGGAACUGAGACACGGUCCAGACUCCUACGGGAGGGAGCAGUGGGGAAUAUUGCACAAUGGGCGCAAGCCUGAUGCAGCCAUGCCGCGUGUAUGAAGAAGGCCUUCGGGUUGUAAAGUACUUUCAGCGGGGAGGCGUUACCCGCAGAAGAAGCACAGGCUAACUCCGUGCCAGCCGCCGCGGUAAUUC
rnacentral:rRNA from 1 species